GACGAACGCUGGCGGCGUGCUUAACACAUGCAAGUCGAACGAAGAGCGAUGGAAGCUUGCUUCUAUCAAUCUUAGUGGCGAACGGGUGAGUAACGCGUAAUCAACCUGCCCUUCAGAGGGGGACAACAGUUGGAAACGACUGCUAAUACCGCAUACGAUCCAAUCUCGGCAUCGAGACUGGAUGAAAGGUGGCCUCUAUUUAUAAGCUAUCACUGAAGGAGGGGAUUGCGUCUGAUUAGCUAGUUGGAGGGGUAGCGGCCCACCAAGGCGAUGAUCAGUAGCCGGUCUGAGAGGAUGAACGGCCACAUUGGGACUGAGACACGGCCCAGACUCCUACGGGAGGCAGCAGUGGGGAAUCUUCCGCAAUGGACGAAAGUCUGACGGAGCAACGCCGCGUGAGUGAUGACGGCCUUCGGGUUGUAAAGCUCUGUUAAUCGGGACGAAUGGUUCUUGUGCGAAUAGUGCGAGGAUUUGACGGUACCGGAAUAGAAAGCCACGG
rnacentral:rRNA from 1 species